rnacentral:rRNA from 1 species
GACGAACGCUGGCGGCGUGCCUAAUACAUGCAAGUCGAACGCAGUGGGGACGGGUGAGUAACAUGUGGGUAACCUCCCAUCAGAGGGGGUAACGCUUGGAAACAGGUGCUAAACCGAUAUAGAUGGAUGGAGCCGCGGGGCAUUAGCUAGUUGGUGAGGUAACGGCUUACCAAGGCCAUGAUGCAUAGCCGACCUGCGAGGGUGAUCAGGCCCACGGGGACUGAGACACGGCCCAGACUCUUAGGGAAGGCAGCAGUGGGGAAUCUUCGGCAAAGGACGAAAGUCUGACCGAGCAACGCCACGUGAGUGAAGAAGGUUUUCGGAGCGUAAAGCUCUGUUGUUAGAGAAGCGGUAUCUAACCAGAAAGCCAAGGCUAACUACGUGCCAGCGGACGCGGUAAUAC